GUCCACGGCCAUGCUACCCUGAACGAGCCUGAUCCCGUCUGAUCUCGGAAGCUGAGCAGGGUCGGGCCUGGUUAGUUCUUGGAUGGGAGAUCACCUAGGAAGACCAGGUGCUGUAGGUG
rnacentral:rRNA from 1 species